ACGGCACACACUAGGGUCUCGUCACACACACACGCAUACAUACACACACACACCACAAUGACGCCAUAACAAGCAACAGCACCAGCAACCAUCGUCCGCAGCUCCCGCGUACAGAGGCCUGAGGCUCCCGGCUCCACGUGGACUGACCUCGCCUGGCAGCGCCGGGACACUUCACCUCAAGCUCCUCCCGCAGCCUGCCCGAGUCAGGCUUACCUCAAUAACCAAAACACCGGAAAGAGAUGCAAAGGUCAAAGUUCAUCCGCGGCCCUGGGGCCUGUGGGAAACGUAGUCCAACAACGAAAGGGCCCUGAAGCUGAAGCCGAGCCCGUUGGCCGCAGGGGCCGCACCAGGCCAUAGACUCCUGGAGUUUCCGGGUGCGUAGACCCUUUCCCUCGGCGGAGGCUGCGGCUGCGCGUCCUCCCGGCGCGGAAGAGGCGGCUGGUGGUCCCCGACGGCAAGGUUUUAUACAUUAUGAAUAAAGCUGGCACUUUUCUAUUUCUCCUGGGCAAAUAUUUAGAAGAAAAGUUGCUGGGUAAUUGGUGGAGACAGUUUCGCCACAUUGCCUGGGCUGGUCUCAAACUCCUGAGCUCAAGCAACCCGCCCUCCUUAGCCUCCCAAAGUGCUGGGAUUACAGGUGUGAACCACCAUGCCUGGCCCUACUUUCUAUCGAAGUAGAAUGGGUAGAUAACAUUAUUAUUAACAGCAUAUGGGAAGAGGGAGGUCCUCCCAUGUUACAUUGUUCUCCCUGCCCCUUCUGGGUCAUGUUGCACUACUCUUUCCCUUCUAGUCAUAUCCCAGGGGGCCUUGUCCCAUUUAUACAGCUCCAUUCUACUCCCAUCCCACCAGAGGCAUGGGAGUAGUCUGACUGAAAGAUCAGAUAGAAGAGUGUACUCUCUUUUUUUUUUGAGAUAGAGUCACCCAGGCUGGAAUGCAGUGGCAUGGUCUUGGCUCACUGUAGUCUCAAACUCCUGGGCCCAAGCAAUCGUCCCACUCAGCCUCCUGAGCCGUUGGGACUACAGGCACAUGCACAACCACAUGCAGCUAUUUUUUUAAAAAUUUUCUGUAGAGAUGGGGUCUCACUGUGUUGCUUAGUUUGGUCUCAAACUCCUGUGCUCAAGUGAUCCUCCUGCCUUGGGCUCACAAAGUGCUUAGGAUUACAGGCAUGAGUCACCACGCUCAGCUGAAGUCUACUCUUUGUAUUCAGGAAAGCACUGGAGAAGAGAGAGGACAAGAGAAACAGGUCCGUGGUGAGAGGAGCCUAGGAAUAGAGUAGGCCUUCAGUCUUGGUGGAAAAAUAAAUGGUAUUCUAAGCCUU